GAUGGACGCUAGCGGCAGGCUUAAUACAUGCAAGUCGAGGGGCAGCACAGGUAGCAAUACUGGGUGGCGACCGGCAAACGGGUGCGGAACACGUACACAACUUACCUUAGAGUGGGGGAUAGCCCAGGGAAACUUGGAUUAAUACCCCAUAAAACAGGGGGCCCGCAUGGGCAUAUUGUUAAAGAUUUAUCACUUUAAGAUGGGUGUGCGUAUGAUUAGGUAGUUGGUAGGGUAAAGGCCUACCAAGCCGACGAUCAUUAACUGGUGUGAGAGCACGACCAGUCACACGGGCACUGAGACACGGGCCCGACUCCUACGGGAGGCAGCAGUAAGGAAUAUUGGUCAAUGGACGGAAGUCUGAACCAGCCAUGCCGCGUGAAGGAUGAAGGUCCUCUGGAUUGUAAACUUCUUUUAUAGGGGGCGAAAAAGGGCCAUUCUUGGUCAACUGACGGUACCCUAUGAAUAAGCACCGACUAACUCCGUGCCAGCCGCCGCAGUAAAAC
rnacentral:rRNA from 1 species